CGCCCCCCAAAAUCAGAUGCGCCGCACUCAAUCUCGCUGCCGCGUCGAGGUUCUCACCGGACGGCGAUUUCCUUCCUCGCCGUGCGGGAUUGGAGCUGCGCUGAGAGAGGAGGGGACCCUCGCCUGUUCGUCCUGGGAGAGCGGCUCGCCGCGUUCGCCCUCGUCAAGCGCCAACUACCGACUUCAAUCUCGGCGCACGCAGCGUCAUCCUCGUUGGCCGCCGAUUCGUCCUCGUCGGCCGCCGAUUCGUCCUCGUCGGCCUCCGAUUCGUCCUCGUCGGCCACCGAUUCGUCCUCGUCAGCCACUGAUUCGUCCUCAUCGAGCCGAAGUCACGACGAGAGAGAGGUCGCGCCGGCGAUUCGUUAUUGCCGAGAGGGAGGCGCGCGGGAGCGAGGGGGGCUCGUUGUUCUCUUCGCCGGCGAUUUGUGGUCGUUCUCGCCGAAUGGGGGAGACGCACCGGGAGUGAGGGCGGGUUCACGCGUCGAUCUCGUCGCCCGGCGAUUCGUCCUCACCAAGGUGAGGCGCGCCGGGAGCGAGGGUGGCGCACUCCCGUGCGUGAUUUUCUCCGGUGGCCUGGGGGUGAUUCAUCUUUCGUCGAGGGAGCACGCUGCGAAGGGAGGGACGACUCCGUGCGCAGGGACCUGCACUCCAUUCGCAGGAAGAUGCAAAACCACUGCGUGAAUGCAUAUCCUACUACUUGCUGACACACCCAUGCAACGAAAAGUACGAAACUCUUCUCGAGAUCAAAAAUAUAUUAAACAUGCAUAGCGUGACCAUCGAGUUCUAUAAGUGAAGAUGGUGGUGUGCAGAUUUAUGAUUACAAAAAAAUAUGACCUUAUUGGAUAAAUAUUAUGGACGCAUUGUUUAUUCCACGUUCGAGAACAACAGCCAAUCAGUUUUUUCCUUUAUUUUAAAAAAAAUUCACCCCCUGUAUGCCUGAGCAUGAGAUUCCAGAGAAUUGUUCCACAUUUUAAUUAAAUAUUUGGGACCUUUUUGUUUCUA